rnacentral:rRNA from 1 species
UACGUAGGGGGCAAGCGUUGUCCGGAUUUAUUGGGCGUAAAGAGCGUGUAGGCGGCCAGAUAGGUCCGUUGUGAAAACUCGAGGCUCAACCUCGAGACGCCGAUGGAAACCAUUUGGCUAGAGUCCGGAAGAGGAGAGUGGAAUUCCUGGUGUAGCGGUGAAAUGCGCAGAUAUCAGGAGGAACACCGAUGGCGAAGGCAGGUCUCUGGGCAUUAACUGACGCUGAGGAGCGAAAGCAUGGGGAGCGAACAGG